rnacentral:rRNA from 1 species
AGCGCAGGUGGGCUGUCAAGUCUGUCUUAAAAGUGCGGGGCUUAACCCCGUGAUGGGAUAGAAACUGGCAGUCUUGAGUGCAGGAGAGGAAAGCGGAAUUCCUAGUGUAGCGGUGAAAUGCGUAGAUAUUAGGAGGAACACCAGUGGCGAAAGGCGGCUUUCUGGACUGUAAACUGACACUGAGGCUCGAAAAUCCAGGGGGAGCGAACG